GGACGAACGCUGGCGGCGUGCUUAACACAUGCAAGUCGAGCGGUAAGGCCCUUUCGGGGGUACACGAGCGGCGAACGGGUGAGUAACACGUGGGUGACCUGCCCUCAGCUCUGGGAUAAGCCUGGGAAACUGGGUCUAAUACUAGAUAUGACUCCACGGUGCAUGUCGGUGGGGUGGAAAGCCUUGUGCGGCUGAGGAUGGGCCCGCGGCCUAUCAGCUUGUUGGUGGGGGAUGGCCUACCAAGGCGACGACGGGUAGCCGGCCUGAGA
rnacentral:rRNA from 1 species